rnacentral:rRNA from 1 species
CCUACGGGAGGCAGCAGUGAGGAAUAUUGGUCAAUGGCCGGGAGGCUGAACCAGCCAAGUCGCGUGAGGGAAGACGGCCCUACGGGUUGUAAACCUCUUUUGUCAGGGAGCAAGGUGCAGGUCGGGACCUGCUGUGAGAGUACCUGAAGAAAAAGCAUCGGCUAACUCCGUGCCAGCAGCCGCGGUAAUACGGAGGAUGCGAGCGUUAUCCGGAUUUAUUGGGUUUAAAGGGUGUGCAGGCGGAGGCACAAGUCAGCGGUAAAAUCGCGGGGCUCAACCCCGCUCCGCCGUUGAAACUGUGGCCCUUGAGUGCGCGAAGGGUAGGCGGAAUGCGUGGUGUAGCGGUGAAAUGCAUAGAUAUCACGCAGAACUCCGAUCGCGAAGGCAGCCUACCGGCGCGCAACUGACGCUCAUGCACGAAAGCGUGGGUAUCGAACAGGAUUAGAUACCCCAGUAGUC